CUACGGGCGGCUGCAGUGAGGAAUAUUGGUCAAUGGACGCAAGUCUGAACCAGCCAUGUCGCGUGAAGGAUGACUGCCCUAUGGGUUGUAAACUUCUUUUAUAUGGGAAUAAUAUGAUUACGAGUAAUCAAAUGCAGGUACCAUAUGAAUAAGCACCGGCUAACUCCGUGCCAGCAGCCGCGGUAAUACGGAGGGUGCAAGCGUUAUCCGGAUUUAUUGGGUUUAAAGGGUGUGUAGGCGGACUAAUAAGUCAGUGGUGAAAUCCUGCAGCUUAACUGUAGAACUGCCAUUGAAAACUGUUAGUCUUGAGUAUAGACGAGGUAGGCGGAAUGAGUUAUGUAGCGGUGAAAUGCAUAGAUAUAACUCAGAACACCGAUUGCGAAGGCAGCUUACUAGACUAUUACUGACGCUGAUGCACGAAAGCGUGGGUAGCGAACAGGAUUAGAUACCCGCGUAGUC
rnacentral:rRNA from 1 species